GACGAACGCUGGCGGCGUGCUUAACACAUGCAAGUCGAACGGAAAGGCCCUGCUUUUGUGGGGUGCUCGAGUGGCGAACGGGUGAGUAACACGUGAGUAACCUGCCCUUGACUUUGGGAUAACUUCAGGAAACUGGGGCUAAUACCGGAUAGGAGCUCCUGCUGCAUGGUGGGGGUUGGAAAGUUUCGGCGGUUGGGGAUGGACUCGCGGCUUAUCAGCUUGUUGGUGGGGUAGUGGCUUACCAAGGCUUUGACGGGUAGCCGGCCUGAGAGGGUGACCGGCCACAUUAGGACUGAGAUACGGCCCAGACUCCUACGGGAGGCAGAAGUGGGGAAUAUUGCACAAUGGGCGGAAGCCUGAUGCAGCAACGCCGCGUGCGGGAUGACGGCCUUCGGGUUGUAAACCGCUUUCGCCUGUGACGAAGCGUGAGUGACGGUAAUGGGUAAAGAAGCACCGGCUAACUACGUG
rnacentral:rRNA from 1 species